GUGGAGGCGCACCAGCCCCUGCUCUUGCACCAGAAGUUGGAAGCCAGUCGCAAACUGGUGAGGCCCUGAGGUUCCCCUCCCGGUACUUAAGUGGCGCGUGGAUUAGAUAUUGUGUUGGGUGGUAUUUCAGGAAAUAUGUACUUGUGGCUUCCUGAGAGGCCAGGCGCAGUGACACUCUAAACCGUGUCGAUAUAUCAUCUUUUAUCCAGGAUCUGCAAAUAAACCCCUGAUCCCCUCGGCGCAUUAUAGCCGCCGCUAUCUCGCCAAGGAAGCGAUCUGAGUUUUAUUGCUUUCGCCAACGCCCCAACACACACACACACACACACACACACACAUACACACACACUCCCCUUUCCCACCCAAUCUGGUUUUUAAAGGCUCUAUUUUUUUUUUCUCCUUCUGGGGCACCGUUAUUAAUAAAGCCAAUAGGCCUCAGCGCCGCCAUCCGAGCAAGUGGAGAAAUGCGGGCCUCCAGCGCGCGGAUCCCGAGUUUCCUCCAUGCGUUUGCCUCGGGGGAGAGAAACUAGCACGUUCGGCGCGGCGGCGCCACGAGGAGGCGCCGGAGCUCCGCUCUCCGCUGCGCGCGGGGCCUAAUCCCGGGAGAGCGUCUGGCAGGCCGUUCCCCAGGUUCCUGGCGGUUCUCCUCCAAGGCUCGGCCUCGGGUCGGAGCCCGGUGGGAGGGCGGAGGAGGAGUCGGUGGCUCCAAACCAGAGUUAGAUCUGAGAGUCAGAUCGCCCAGGCAGCACCCAGCCCGUCCCACCCUCAGCUAGCUGGGGCACUUGCGGACCUUCCUUUCCCACUAUUGUAAUCCCCUCCCUGUCUUUCCACCCACGUGCUACCUGCGGUCCCCACCUCAACUUCCAUCACAUUUCGGUCUAAACCUCAGCAAACUGUUCCUAUGGGCCACUAGGUAUGGGAUGGGGUGUUCCUUGGAGCACGAGGGAGCGCUCUCCGUGAUCCUGAGCGGCAUCGGCCCAUGUAGGUGAACGCGAGGUGGGCAGCUCCAUGUGAUGUGUCCAGGCUGUUAGCCAGCAGGGAUUCCAGGGGGAGAGAAGAGAGCUAUGCUAAAGAGAAAUGCUGAAGUUUGUCCAGAUCUUUUGCUGAGGGUGGAGACACCCUCGAUGCUCCGGUGAACUCCUGUUCGAUUUGGCAAAUGUACCACUAACAACCGAGAAAAGCCUUUAGAGAAGCCCUCCUGCACCUCAUUCCUUCUCAGGGUCAGGGAGUGCGGAGCAGUGGCGCUGACUGGCCACCAGAGGGAGACACCGCGCCGACGCCCGACUUUGAGGUCUAGGGGAGGAAGGCAAUAAAGCCCCUCACUCCAGCUGAGCUCACCCCAGGUAACCCCGAUUCUGUUAAAGCCUCUACUGGGGUGCAGGGGAUUCAGGGAUUCAAAGAACACAAGAAUGGGGAUGCUUUCUACCUCCUCCACCCACGCCUGAGUGCCUUUCUCCUAGGUGUGGGGCUUCGCCCGUGAGGGUUACAUUCCUCAACGUCUGCUCCCCUUCCCCCCCAAAAACCAGGACCUGCAAUCACAGCUUGUUUCACUGAUUGUUCGUUGAUUGCCUCCCAUCAAAGCCGUUCGUGGCUUCCCGCCUCAAAACCAGUCGACGGACGCCAGGUUAGGGAGUCUGCAGUGCCAGUGCUGUCCGCCGGGUGGCGCGAUUGGAUAAGAAAAGACUUCCCGGCCAGGCACUGCCCCGGGCCACCGAAUGCAAUUCCCACGCCUGCAGGUUUGAGAGGUCCCUUUACACCGCGGCCGCAAUCCCCUAAGAAUUAAAAUUUUCUGUAUUUGUACUUGACGCCUGGAGUGUGGUGAAGAGGUUAAAAUUAUCUAAACCAG
rnacentral:lncRNA from 1 species